CCUACGGGUGGCAGCAGUGAGGAAUAUUGGUCAAUGGGCGGGAGCCUGAACCAGCCAAGCCGCGUGAAGGAAGAAGGCGCCAAGCGUCGUAAACUUCUUUUGUCGGGGAACAAAGGGCGCCACGUGUGGCGUUGUGAGUGUACCCGAAGAAAAAGCAUCGGCUAACUCCGUGCCAGCAGCCGCGGUAAUACGGAGGAUGCGAGCGUUAUCCGGAUUUAUUGGGUUUAAAGGGAGCGUAGGUGGAUUGUUAAGUCAGUUGUGAAAGUUUGCGGCUCAACCGUAAAAUUGCAGUUGAAACUGGCAGUCUUGAGUACAGUAGAGGUGGGCGGAAUUCGUGGUGUAGCGGUGAAAUGCUUAGAUAUCACGAAGAACUCCGAUUGCGAAGGCAGUUCACUGGACUGCAAAUGACACUGAGGCUCGAAAGUGUGGGUAUCAAACAGGAUUAGAUACCCCUGUAGUC
rnacentral:rRNA from 1 species